rnacentral:rRNA from 1 species
UACAGAGGUCCCAAGCGUUGUUCGGAUUCACUGGGCGUAAAGGGUGCGUAGGUGGCGGGGGAAGUCUGAUGUGAAAUCUCCGAGCUUAACUCGGAAACUGCAUCGGAUACUGCCUUGCUCGAGGGUUGGAGGGGGGACUGGAAUACUUGGUGUAGCAGUGAAAUGCGUAGAUAUCAAGUGGAACACCAGUGGCGAAGGCGAGUCCCUGGACAACUCCUGACACUGAGGCACGAAAGCUAGGGGAGCAAACAGG